UGGCGAUGAUGGUGCGGCGAUUUCGGAGUGUCGGCACUAAUCUCUCGUUCGUUUUUUAGUUUUCGACGCAAUGCCGCUAAAAUUGAUCUCAUUUUGUAGAGGAAAUAACGGAGCAGUCCGCAGUAGAGUCCCCAUUUUUUCGGCUGAACGACAAAGGAGUGCGUAGCAGUUUAGUCGGCCAACUCGAGUGAUUUCGUGGUCUCGUAUGAAUGUUUUAGGCGUUUUCUUAUUUUAGAUGCUGUGUCGCAAAAUUGAUGUUGUCUUGUAGAGGAGAUAACGCCUAGAUUAACGAAGAGAUCUUGUCGAUUAUCGGCUCAACGAUAAAGGAGUGCCCAGCAAUCUAAGAGCGACUCAAGUUUCAGCCGAUUUUUUUUUUCGGAGAGAUGGCGCGUCGGUCACGAAGAUACAGGAAAUCAGCCGCGAAGUUCUUGUUUAAGACGGGGCUUCGUGCGUCGCCUAGCAACAGAGGUUUUUCAACAGGCCGUGUGGCGUGUGCAGGUGUGUUCUCUAUUGUUUCGACUUUCGAGCAUAGUCGUCUAGAUCAAAAGGGGAAAUAUUGCCGUUGUUCAGUCACUUCGAUUUGAAAUUUAGCUGCUAGCAUGGACAUGGAGCAGUUCAGUUGGAAUCUUAAUUGGCGAAUUAACUGAAACCAGAAAGUUUCCCCAUGAAAAUGGCUAUGUGGCAUCUAUUGGAAAGUGGAUUUGAUGCCAGUGUACUGAUUCCAGAUCUUCCUUGAAACAUGAGCCUUAAUGUAGCUGUGGGUCUGUCGAAUGUCUGGAGUGCUCCAUCUGAUGCCAGAAAGAGGAUAGAUUUGUUUCACAAAUGAAGUUGCAUGGUAUGCUUGAAGUCCACUUGUCUUCCUUUUUAUGAUGAUGGCAAUUCGUACUGCAUUAACCAUGAACAGUCUACCUCUAAGAAGACCUGACUACUUGCAUAUGACUAGACUGUCCCUCUCUGUUCCCAAAAUAUAUGAUUGUAUUUGGUGUUGACAGUUCGGUCCAGGAAGUGAGGUGUAUAGGAAGAGUUGCCAGAGAAGACUUUGUCGUUGAACUGCUGACACGAGAUAAUCUACAGGCUUUUUGUUGUGUAACUAAGUUUUCAAAUUCUAUAUAUUGUCGGAGGUAGAAGGUUGGACGAAGAUGAUUCCUGAAUCGCUUGCUCAACUGACGAGCCAAAAAUUACGAGCCGAUGACCAACCGAGUGGAAUCCUGGGUACUUAAUCACACGUGGGCAACACAGUUUCAGAUUGAUUCCAAAUCUUCAGCUUCCCAGGCAGACACCCAUCCACAAAGCCAUGGGUGAUAGAUGAUAUUCACAGUGGGCACGACUGCGUUGUAAAUUAGUAUCACUUUACAAAGCCAAACAGAUUUAGAUCACGUGUCUAUUGUGAAAGAGAUCAUGUGUCUCAACGAAAAUGACUCUCUCCGUUUGCGACAUCAGACCUCCCCAUCUGUCCCCACAUCCCAGUCCCCAUUCUGAUGCAAAAAUCUUGGAAUCAAGUUGAACAUUUUGAACCAUCUCAGGACAAAGCUGAAGUUCUAGAUGCAUUAGAAAAUUCGUCGCAUUUUGGUUAGAGUAUCUUCGCCGUCCGAUCCAUCAGUUGGAAUGAUGCAUCCAUCAACAGAAUGUAUUAAAUAGGAAAGUAAUCACCAAAUGCCGACUGGACGAUUUCCAUGCAAGAUGAAUGAUAAAAUCCAAGGAGAUCUGGAGAACCAUUAGCUGAAUACAAUGAAUACUAUCAGUUCUCCAGAAAAAAGGCCAACAUAGGUUAAUAAUCAUGCUGUAUCAAAAGAGGUACAUACUUGAACGAGAUGUUAAAACCAUAUCAGCUGGAAGGGCACGUGGAAAUUUCAAAGGACGCUACUUGCACGUUACCUUUAGUCGUUGGUUCAUCUCGAAGAUAAAAUAUAAAAAAUUUUAUAAAUUGAA